UCUGAAACUUAAAUUUUUAUUUGUUUAAUUUGUUUUUGGGUUUUAUUUUUAAAAUAUUAAUGAUUUUUAUUAUUUUUAAUGGAAUUAAUUUUAUUUAUGAUAGUUUACUAGUAUAGUGAUAGAAUAUUCAUUGGUUUUAAGGUUGUUAAAAGAAUUAUUAAUUUUUAGUACCUUGUGUAUCAGGGCUUAUAAAUAUAUAAUUUUAUAUAAAGUGUUCUCGAAUUUGGAAGAGCUAAGAAAAUAUUUAUUUUACUGUUGAAUAAGUAUUUAUAAUAUUUUUUUUGCAAUGAAACGUUAUUCGUUUUUAAAUAUAUCUAGUUUCUUAAGAAAUGAAUUUAAUUCAAGACUUGAUUUUAAGGCUUAUAAAUAUUUAUUUGUUUUUUGAUUUAGGUUUUAAUAUUAGAAGGGAUUAGCUUUUUAAUAUUUUUUAUAAAUUAAUAUUGUUGAUAAAAGUAGUAGGAUUAAAAUUUUUCAUCUUUUUUAGUAUGUUAUAAUUAAAUUUUAAUAUUUAUGAUUUAUAUUAAUUUUAAGUUUUUUAUUAAGAAAUUUUAUUUAAUUAUUUUUUAUUAGUUAUUAUGAUAAGAUUAGUAUGAUUUUAUUUAUAUAUAAAUUGAAUAUGUAAGGUUAAUUUAAGGAAUUCGGCAAUAUUUAUUUCUUACCUGUUUAAUAAAAACAUGUCCUUUUGAUUUUAAUUUAAGGUCUGGCCUGCCCAAUGAUAAUUUAAAUGGCCGCAGUAUUUUGACUGUGCAAAGGUAGCAUAAUCAUUAGUUUCUUAAUUAGGAACUGGAAUGAAUGGUUGGAUAAGGAAAUAACUGUCUCAUUUUAACUUUUUCGGAAUUUUAUUUUUGAGUUAAAAAGCUCAAAUUUUGUUUAAAGACGAGAAGACCCUAUAGAGUUUUAUAAUAAUAUAUUUUUGAUUUUUAGGAAUUUAUUAAUUUUUAAUGGACUUAUUAUUUUGUUGGGGUGAUGGAAAAAUUUAAUUAACUUUUUUUUUUCUUUACACUAAUAGGUGGUUUAUUGAUCCGUUUAUUUACGAUUAUAAGAUUAAAUUACCUUAGGGAUAACAGCGUAAUCUUUUUGGAGAGUUCUAAUCGAUAUAAGGGUUUGCGACCUCGAUGUUGGAUUAAAAUUUAAUAUUGGUGUAGAAGCUAAUAUAGUAGGUCUGUUCGACCUUUAAAAUUUUACAUGAUCUGAGUUUAAACCGGCGUGAGCCAGGUUGGUUUCUAUCUUGAUUUAUUUGUUAAUGUUCUAGUACGAAAGGACCGAA
rnacentral:rRNA from 1 species